AUUGUUUUUCUUUUUAUAUAUUUGAUUUACAAUUGUAGUGCGCGCCAGCCCUUAAUUAAGUACCUAACAACAUUAAAUUAAUGUUUUGCCUUAUUAGCCAGUCUGUGUUUACUGUUGAUUAUGAUAACAUGUCACGGUCUUGGUGCUCGCGAUCCUAGUCCUAGUCACAAUUUUAGACUUAACGUGCUUUUAGUCUUUUUUAUUAGGUAUCUACCCUAAAAACAUCGAAACUGCCGAACCGAUUUGAUGACGGCAGAUAGAAGAGUAUGGUAGGAGUAAACACGCUGCGCCGAUCCUAAAUAAAAUUAGGAUAAGGACAGGAGGAGGAUGAUGAUGGUAAUUGUGUGGAGUGACAGCAGAGUCUAUAUUUUUAAUA
rnacentral:lncRNA from 1 species